AGGACGAACGCUGGCGGCGCGCUUAACACAUGCAAGUCGAGCGAGGACCAGUCCUUCGGGACUGGGGACAGCGGCGAACGGGUGAGUAACACGUGGGUAAUCUGCCCUCGAUUCUGGGAUAGCCCGGGGAAACCGGAUUAAUACCGGAUAGCCUCUCUGGCUUUCGAGCCGGCGAGAAAAGGUAGCUUCGGCCUCCGAUCGAGGAUGAGCCCGCGGCGGAUUAGCUUGUGGUGGGUAAUGGCCUACCAAGGCGACGAUCCGUAGCUGGUCUGAGAGGACGAUCAGCCACACUGGGACUGAGACACGGCCCAGACUCCUACGGGAGCAGCAGUGGGGAAUCGUUGCGCAAUGGGCGAAAGCCUGACGCAGCGACGCGCGUGGGGAAGAAGGCUCGGUUGUAACUCUU
rnacentral:rRNA from 1 species